rnacentral:lncRNA from 1 species
GGAACAAAAAAAAAUAAAAACAUCAUCUUUUUUAUUUCUUUUAAUUCUUGCGCGACGAAUACAUACGUCUCGCAAACACUUUGUGCGCGACGAAAAGUUUCGUCGCGCAUGUUAGCUGGGGCGACGAAAUAUACUUUCGUCGCGCAAAUAUAAGAGCGACGAAAUCUUUCUCAUCGCGCGAAUGGUUCUGCGGCGAACUUCUGCGUCUCCGAACACGUUUUGCGCGACGAUAUAUUUUCGUCGCGCAAAGAUAUGUGCGUCGAAUACUGGAUCGUCGCGCAAAGUUUAUGCGACGAACUGUUGUUCCGUCUCCAUACCGUUGGUGCAACGCUGGUUUACCCGUCGCACAGUCUUGCGCGACGAAUGGAUGUACCUCGUCGCGCAAAGGCUUUCUUCACGAUCUUCGCGCGACGGAAUACGCGCGACGAAUUUUUUGUCGCGCUGAUGUUAGUGCGACAACAUUCGACUUUGCGCGACGUUUUGUUAUGCGUCGCGCAAAGACUAAAAUGUAGUAGUGGAAGGUGUUUUUGGUGGGCCUGGUAUUAGCAAUCCCAUCUAAGAUUAGGAUUAGAUGAAACAAACAUGAUACUAAAUUUAGUCCAAGCCUGUGUAACAAACGACCCCUUAGAGUCUAGAGACUCGUUCUCCCCCUCCAAACCUAUCCAAACAUCAUCCAAUUUCAUUGGUUUUUGGAGCGAAUCCUUGCAAAUUGUGGAGGGCUCUAGUUCAUUCUAAGGUAAAUUUGUAUGUAUUUCUGUGUCUCAAUCUCUGUGUGUUGCUUGUUUCAUCUUGCUUCAAGCUUUGGUUUUGUUAUGAAUGAUAACUUUUUUCUGCUUUAAUGUCUGCGUGUUUGAAGAUAGGAUUUUUAUCUUAAAUGUUUCUUUUUCCCUAUGAUAUGUAAUUAUUACAUUUUUGUCACCCAUAUUCUUACGACGGAAAUAUUUGCCUUCUGUUAUUCUCUUGGAUGUUUUAGAUCUGCACGCAGUUCUUGCAGCAAGAAUCAUGUAGGUACAGGGUAGAUGUGCGACAUAUAAUUAGCAGCCUCGGUUACUAGUUUGUAACAUUUUAAUGAACAUGGAGGAAUUAGAUGUUUCCAGAUUUGUAGUGAUAAGGCAUUACCUUUCUUCUUUUCAUCAUAGGUACUUAAAAUUCAUUACCAUGGCCUUAGUUUUUUCAGUUUGUUAUGUUAGGGAGUGGGUCUCCAACUGGCGGAAGGUUUAAGAUUGACAUCAACUGUCAAGAAUCAUUGUACAUUUAAGAUUACAAAUAUCCAUGUAGAAUUCGAAAGCCAAGAGUUAAAAUUAUGAGAAUUUGAUAAUGGAGAAAUAUAAAUUGUGUAGUUAGAUUUGGUUUAGUUCCCGCUUUCAAUAUAAUUGAAUCCAAUGUAGACCAUGAACGUAUGUAGCCAUUAGUUUUGUUGGAACUUGAUAGUAUUGCUGAAAUAUUGAAGGAGGAUUAUCCCUCUCUCUUGAACUGGUUAUCUAUUCUGGUAGAUUCUCUCUCUCCUCUCUCUAAUGCCGAUGCUUUUAUUUGGCAGAUAAUGUGAUUAAGGAGGCUUACAAAGGCAGACAUAGGCCCAUAAAGGGUGUUUUAUUUGGAGCUUCUAAUUCAUUGAUGUUAGAUAUGUUCAGUUUUAAGUACCAAGUUUUGUUUUUUUUUUUGUUUUUUUUCAGUUAUUGUAUCUAAUCACUAUAUUAAAUGGAAAUGAAAUUUCACUUUGUUAUUUAAUAUAUACAUUAAAUAAUAUUAUAUAUAUAUAUAUAUAUAUUGAAAAGGUCUGAAAUACCAUACUAUAUUAAGUGGAAAUGAAAUUUCAGUGUGUAAUUUUUUUUAUUUAUUUAAACAAUUGGCAUUGAGUACA